GACGAACGCUGGCGGCGUGCCUAACACAUGCAAGUCGAACGGGGUGAUUCGCUUCGGUGGAUCACUUAGUGGCGAACGGGUGAGUAACGCGUGAGAAACCUGCCUUUCAGUGGGGGACAACAGGUUUGGAAACGACUGCUAAUACCGCAUAACAUCCUUUGGGGGCAUCCUCUUAGGAUCAAAGCUUAAUGUGCUGAAAGAUGGUCUCGCGUCUGAUUAGCUAGUUGGUGGGGUAACGGCUCACCAAGGCGACGAUCAGUAGCCGGUCUGAGAGGAUGAACGGCCACAUUUGGGGACCUGAGAUACGGCCCAGACUCCUACGGGAGGCAGCAGUGGGGAAUAUUGGGCAAUGGGCGAAAGCCUGACCCAGCAACGCCGCGUGAAGGAGAA
rnacentral:rRNA from 1 species